GAUGAACGCUGGCGGCGUGCCUAAUACAUGCAAGUCGAGCGAACAGACGAGGAGCUUGCUCCCCUGACGUUAGCGGCGGACGGGUGAGUAACACGUGGAUAACCUACCUAUAAGACUGGGAUAACUUCGGGAAACCGGAGCUAAUACCGGAUAAUAUAUUGAACCGCAUGGUUCAAUAGUGAAAGACGGUUUUGCUGCCACUUAUAGAUGGAUCCGCGCCGCAUUAGCUAGUUGGUAAGGUAACGGCUUACCAAGGCAACGAUGCGUAGCCGACCUGAGAGGGUGAUCGGACACACUGGCACUGAGACACGGUCCAGACUCCUACGGGAGGCAGCAGUAGGGAAUCUUCCGCAAUGGGCGAAAGCCUGACAGAGCAACGCCGCGUGAGUGAUGAAGGUCUUCGGAUCGUAAAACUCUGUUAUUAGGGAAGAACAAAUGUGUAAGUAACUAUGCACGUCUUGACGGUACCUAAUCAGAAAGCCACGGCUAACUACGUG
rnacentral:rRNA from 1 species